ensembl:miRNA
CAGGAAACAGGACCUUUGCCUAAGUUCUUUCAGCAGUUAGGCCAAAGGUCAUGUUCCUUUCU